rnacentral:lncRNA from 1 species
UUACUCGCUGGGCCUUGAUUCAUCUUGUGAAAAGUCCAAGCGGCCCCCCACCCCCACCGCCUUCUGCAUAUCUGAAUUCUAACCUCUCUGCAAGUGGAAGCUCCAAUCCCACCUGCUCCUAGUCACCUCCCCACCCCCAGAGCCUGCAGGGAUAUUUUCUUCCUACCAUCCUUGUAGGUUCCUAGCAGAGCCACACAGGGCACUUACAGUCAGCACCAGGCAAGAUGCGUGUGGUUUAGAUGAUAAGUCACAACAGCCAGCCUGAGGUGGGGACUCACCCGAGCACCUCACUCAACCAGCUCAUUCAGCCUCAAGACCCUCCACUGAGCAGACCAUGAUUUGUAAAUAGCAAGGAAAAUGUUAUCAUUCCCCAAGCAGAUGUUAAAGGGCUUUGUCUUUUGGGGUUGGGGCGCAGUAGUGUGGACCUGGGAUGUGGUGGGCACAGAGUAAGGAAUGACAAGUUGGCCAGUGAAAGAAAACUGUCCACAUCUUCACCAUCCCCUUUUCCCUCCCAACUUAUUUUUAUAAAAAUCUUCUAAUAAAAAGAAAAGCGAGAAGAAUGUAUUUAACAAAAAAGUCCAAGUCCAACGGAUUUAUUAAUGUCAUGCAUAUCAUGAACAUGUUCCUCACUAAAUCAUUUGCAAGUGUGUGGCCAAUAUCCUGAUGCUUGCCCCAAGUCCAAAGCACACAAGUCCUUAAAACAGAGCACUUAAAACAGGUGCCCAACCACAGUAUCAUCCAUACCUAAGGUGAAUGACAAUAAAACUGAGUGUCACUGGUCUUUUCUCCUAUCACUAUGUGACCAAUAAAAAGGCGAUAGGGAAAAAUGUUUUGAGUUUGGUCUUUAGUGAUCUGGCAUUGAAUAAUCUGUGCUUCUCUGAAAAUGUCAUCGUCAGUCCUUCUGCUUCCUUUGAGGGCAUCUGCCACUUGGAUGAGGAGGGAGACUAUAUUUUUUUCAACACUUUUAAAAUUGGAAUUCAUUCACUUACUAUAGUAAAUAUGGACAUGCUUGUGGUAUGUUGGGGAGAUUAAGGCUGACAGUUACAGGUCAGUAGUUUCAGUCUCUGUGAAUUUGAAUUCUAGAUUUCCUCCUGGAAGUCCAGUUAAAUUUAGAACUAAUCAGCAAUGCACAGAAGCAGCCUCUAACAAAGGAACUUAACAGUUUAUUGGACAUGAAAGCAUAGACAGGUUCAGAAUUCAACAGUGAGCAGAUAGGGCUUGAGCCUCCAUUUCCAGAGCAUGCAGCGGCCAAGGAAGCAAUUGCAUUGGUGAGCUGGUGAUAGAUGGUGGUUUUCUUUUUCCAUUUAUGAGAUAGAUGACUCUUUUUGCUGACCAAAGAGAAAUGCAACUUUAAAACUCUUGAAAAAAUAAUGUGUAAGCUUUGCUUCGUAUUUGUCUCCUCCACGCCAACUUCAGUCUCCAGAUUCCCUGUUGGAUUUGGUUUUCCAGUACACUCUAUAUCUAACUCCUCAGAUACACUUGAGUUGCCCGACAGAUUUACUAGGAACGAAGACAUUUCUGAUUAUUUUGACAACACUGGCUAUUACUACCUUGUCUCUGACAAGCAAGUCAUGCCUUUUAACCUUUAGGUUUGGAACUGUGUUUGGUCUUUCCUAGUACUUAUAGGUAGAAGGAAAAGUUACAUAAUAUUUUAGGAAAUAUCCAAAUAAACAGGAAGUAGUCAAUGAUCAUAUUGUGCUAACAGCAGAGGAAUCAUUAGUUUUUGCUGUCCAGGAAAGAUCAAGAAGUAUUACAGUAGAAAAUAUUGGUCUUAGCUAAAAACUGCUGUAGCCUGUCAAUUUUAGGGAGUAAUGACUGAAUUUUUAGUAUAUUUACUCUUCUGAUGUAGAGCUCUCUACUAUGAAAUGAGGCUAGAGGUUGAAUCAUGUCCCCCAGAAUGGUUGGAAUUCUAACCUCCAGAACCUCAGAAUGUGACCUUGUUUAGAGAAAGGGCCUUCACAGAGAUAAUCAGGUGAAAGUAGAGGAUUAGGGUGGACCAUAAUUCAACAUGACUGACUCUUUAUGGAAAAAGAAAACAGCGUGUGUGUUUUUGUGUGUGUGUAUGGAGAUAAAGACAAAACUCAGGAUGGUAUUGGUGAUUGCCAACUAACCAGAAGCUGGGUGUUAUGCCCCCCAAAAUCUCAUGUGUGAGUCAGUGCAAGAAGGUUCAGAGGAUAAAUGAUAGGGUUGUAGGAGUCUUAAGCCAAUCAGUGAAUUAAUCACCUGAUAGGGAUUAACUGAGUGGUAAUGAAGUGAUGGGGUGUGGCUGGAGGAGGUGGGAAUUGGGGCUUGGCUUUGGGGUAUAUAUUUGUAUCUGGUGAGUGGAGUCUCUCUGUGCUUCUUGAUCACCAUGAUAUGAGCUGCUUCCCUCCCCCAUACUCUUCUGCCAUGAUGCUCAGCCUCAUCUCCAGCCUUGAGAAAUGGAGCCAGCCUUCUAUGGACUAAGACCUCUGAAACUGUGAGCCCUCAAAUAAAUUUGUCCUCCUCUGUAGUCGUUCUGCUCAGAUCCUUUAGUCACAGUAGCUAAGAAGCAGACUGAAACACUAGUGGAGAGGCAUUGGGCAGGUUCUCCCUCACAGCCUCCUAGGAGCCAAUUCUGCUGACAUCUUGAUCUUUGACUUCCAGCCUUCAGAACUGCAACAUGAUGACCCACUGUUGUUAAGUCACAGUUCACAGUUCGUUGUCAUGGUAGCCCUAGCAGGCUAAAGCCAAGACCAGCUUCUUAAGCUGAUGUAUGUGGAUGUAAGGUGUGAUGUUUCCUCGGAGGCUGGGUCACAACUCGUGUUACUACCAAAUCUUCUCUAGGGGGCAAAUAGCUCUGUGUAUUUACUUAGAGAGCUUUCCCCCUGGGUUCCUGGGAGUAAAAUUGACUGACAUGUUAUUUCUAAGGGAAUCACGUGGAUGUUAAUGUACACUGGGGAUACCCACAUGCACAAGCGAAUGGUUACUGACUAUUGAAAUAUUAGUAGUGUUUACACUUCUGUCUCUUGGGUGUUGAAGUGGAAUGUGCUAAUCUGCUUCACUUUCCUCAUCUGGGAAACUUCCCUGCACCAUGGCCUUGUGCACACUCUGUCU